rnacentral:rRNA from 1 species
GACGAACGCUGGCGGCGUGCUUAACACAUGCAAGUCGAACGGAAAGGCCCUGCUUUUGUGGGGUGCUCGAGUGGCGAACGGGUGAGUAACACGUGAGUAACCUGCCCUUGACUUUGGGAUAACUUCAGGAAACGGGGGCUAAUACCGGAUAGGAGCUCCUGCUGCAUGGUGGGGGUUGGAAAGUUUCGGCGGUUGGGGAUGGACUCGCGGCUUAUCAGCUUGUUGGUGGGGUAGUGGCUUACCAAGGCUUUGACGGGUAGCCGGCCUGAGAGGGUGACCGGCCACAUUGGUACUGAGAUACGGCGCAGACUCCUACGGGAGGCAGCGGUGGGGAGUAUUGCACAAUGGGCGGAAGCCUGAUGCAGCAACGCCGCGUGCGGGAUGACGGCCUUCGGGUUGUAAACCGCUUUCGCCUGUGACGAAGCGUGAGUGACGGUAAUGGGUAAAGAAGCACCGGCUAACUACGUG